rnacentral:rRNA from 1 species
UACGAAGGGGGCUAGCGUUGCUCGGAAUCACUGGGCGUAAAGGGUGCGUAGGCGGGUUUUUAAGUCAGGGGUGAAAUCCUGGAGCUCAACUCCAGAACUGCCUUUGAUACUGAAGAUCUUGAGUUCGGGAGAGGUGAGUGGAACUGCGAGUGUAGAGGUGAAAUUCGUAGAUAUUCGCAAGAACACCAGUGGCGAAGGCGGCUCACUGGCCCGAGUACUGACGCUGAGGCACGAAAGCGUGGGGAGCAAACAGGG